AAAAGCUACAGGAAAUCAAAGUCGGAAUUUAAUUAUCACGAUUCAGCUAUGAUAUUCCUUUGCUUAGCAUAUAGACUUUUCAAUGAUUUAUAGAGUCAUUCAAUCAUUACAUCCUUAUGGGUGGAAGGGUAAAAAACCCCUUGACUAUGGCAAGGACAAAUGCUUGUCUAGACUUAAAAACAGAGCUUUUUUUUUUUUUUUUUUUUUUUUUUUAAACAAAGCUGAUAAGCUGCAGGUUUCUGUCUUCCUAUACUUUAUACAGAAGCCAACCUCCAGCACAUGGUUUCCUAAGAAUCCUUCCUAAUUUUUGUUUAACAAGGUCUAAUGAGGUAGCCCAAACUGCUCUUCAACUUGCUACCCUCUAGACUCACCCUCUAGACUUCUGAGAUUAUAGAGGAAUUUAACACUAUGCUACUGUGCUUUCCUAUUGUUUUGUGUCUGUCUUUCCUUCCAUUUUUUUCCCUCUGGAGACAGGGCCUCAUUGUAUAGAUCCAGGUGCUUCCCCAGUUCUGGGAUUAAAGCUCUCUAGCGGGGUUGGGGAUUUAGCUCAGUGGUAGAGCACUUGCCUAGCAAUCUCAAGGCCCUGGGUUCGGUCCCCAGCUCCGGAAGAAAAAAAAGAAAAAAAAAGCUCUCUAGUCCCUCUAUCUUUCUGCAUUAUGAUUAACUAAUCAUUUACCAGACUGAGCAACCUGAGAGUAGGAACUGCAUCUUGUGCUUCUUUUGUCCCUAACUGUCCCAGCACCCUGUCUGGUAACAGGAGUUGCUCCAAUAUUUCCAAGAGUUUCACUCUGCCCUUUGCAGUCAUGGUUUUGCAACACAGCAGUCUUCCUGCCUUUACUUAAACAAGCCAUCUCAAAACCUUUGCCAAAAAAUAUUAAAGAUUUACCAGGAAUGUUCUUAAACUUACUUAUUAAGGGUCUCACUGUGUAGCCCAGGCUGACCUCAAACGUUUCCCACACACCAAGCAAACAAGUGAUACUCCAGCAGACUGCAGCUAGGCACUUCCUAAUUCAGUUCAGUCCCCAGAGACUGAGGACUCAAUACCACUGGAGUGCCUCUACUUCCAAUGACAAUUGGAGACUUGGCCACCAGGACUUUGGUUCCACAGACUACAUAUUGGGGUCCUACUGUUUUAAAUAUUAAAUAUUCUCAUCAGUUUCAGAGUACAGUUUCAUCAGUACAGAGGUGUGAUGAGAUGGAUUUUUGGGUGACCAGUUCCUUUUAAUAAAGGCAACAGAAGCUGGAGCAUGGUGGAGACCUUAAUUCAACUUGGGAGACAGAGGCAGGUGGAUCUGUAUGACCAGGCCAACCUGGUCUACAGAGCAAGUUCCAGGUCAGUCAAGACUACACAAACAAACACUGUCUCAAAAAACCAAAAUCAAACCCAACAACAACAACAACAACAACAACAACAAAAACCCCCCAAACAAAAACCCUUUAUAGAAGAGAGGUUCCUGAGCUUAGCCUAUUAGUGACAGCAUAAGGUAUGGAUGAUCUCUACAGGCACAGACACUGGUACCCAACACCUUCCUCCCCUCUUUGGGUUAGAUUCAUUUGCUGGGACAGUUCAUGAUCCUAAAAAGCAAAGUAAAAUGAAACAAAACAAUCAAUCAAUAGAACACAGGCCACCAGGUAUGUGGAUCUCACGGAGGCAUUUCCUCAAGGGAGGCUCCUAUCUGGGGGAUAAAUCCAGCUUGUGUCUAGUUGACACACAAAACCAGCUAGUACAUUUGGCUUACAAUUCCAGGUUACAACCCACUGAGGGAUAUCAAGGCCGUGAGUGAAAUCUCACACACAAUCAAAAGCAAGAGUGACUUGCUUUCCUGGAGAGAAGGAAGGAGGGAGGCAAGCAGGCAGGCAAGGCACCAAAUAAGAUGCUUGCUUGUUGGCAGAGUGGCUUAUGCUCAUCUAGCUUUCUUAGACCGUUCAGGACCACCUGGUUAGGGAAAGGUGCCGCCCGUAGUGGCUUGGAGCUUCCUGCAUCUCUUAGCAAGAAAAACAAUCCUCUACAGACAUGUCCAUAGGCCGAUUUGAUCUAGGCAAUUCUUUUGCCUGAUAUUGUUUUACCUGGUGUAAAGCAGUUAAAAGCUAACAAGGACAGUGGCUUUUUUUUGUUAAAUCCUGGCCUUAAACUAUCUUAACGGACCUGGUUGGCCUUAAACCUCAGUGAUUUCUCCUGCCUGAACUAUUUUCACCUGUGUAUCUACUUGUCCAUCUUCCCGGUAUCAAAAAAAUAUAUUUUAUUCUAUAUAUACAACCUAUAGGGCAAAGCAGGACAAUGAACCUUAAUUCCCAUAAUCAAAAUACUUUUAGGAUUCAUACUGUUAUGAGCCAGGAAAAAUAUUAGAAGUGGGUUUGAUAGGCGUUAAGUCAAUGUCCUAAAAUGAAGACUUCUUUUUUUUUUUUUUUUUUAAACCUUCUUUAAAAUCAGACUUUUUUAGCUGAGUUCACAGGGAAAGUUUUUCCACUUGGAGCAGUUAUGAGUUACAUAACGUUUCGGAGGUCUCCCACUUAGCAUCUUAGCUGGGAAUACUUUACACACGGUAACCAGGGCAACCAGGAACAGCAAAAGUCGGAGGUGGUUCUAUGUACAAAAAUUCUAAGGUCCAAAGUUACAGCGCGGAGGAGCGCGCAUUUCAGUAAACAGCAGCCCCUACUGCUGUCAAUUAAAAAAAAAUUGGUCGGUUUUUGGUCGUUUCCAACUCUGCCUUUGGCAAAAAUCUUUGUUUCAGAAAAGUGUACUGGAGAAAAUAAGAAGCCCAAGGCAUACAAGCGGCUGGAAAGCCUCCAAUAAAUUGGCGAGCUUUGCUCAUCAGGAAUAAAUAAGCCGUUGCUUCGUAUCGCAAACACCUCAGCCCGGAGUCCACAGGGCGCUUAAUCUGCCGCGCCGCUUACGCGAAGCACACGUGAGCUCCGCAGCGAGGCCACGUCGCGGUUCUAGGUGCGGGGAGGGGGCGAACUCAACCCGGGAAGCCCCUAAGGAAAGACCCCGGCUUCGGUGCGGCCUACUCAGCAAGGAAGCCCGCGAGAGGUUCUAGCUACGGCCUUGGCUAGGCUACUUCUGUGCCCCAGAUCAGGUUAUAGCCUGAACAGUCCGGAGAGAAAAAGGGAAAAGAUGUGUACUCCAGACCCUUCCGUAUCGAGGACCCAAAUCAACAACCCACCUGAGCUGGGGACCAAGGGCCUUGGGCUUGCUAGGCAAAGGCUCUCCCACUGAGCUAACUCCCCAACCACCAAUAAAGAUAAUUCUUAAUCUGGCAGCUGUGGCACAUUCCAUUAAUCCCAGAGGCAGAUCCUGUGAGUUCAAGGCCAGACUGCUCUACGGGGGAAGUUCUAGGACAGCAAGGCUACACAAAAAACCCUGUAUCAAAAGACCAGAAACCAACUGUCUUAAUUAGGUUAUGCAUUUCUGUGAAGAGACACCAUGACAAUGAUAAAGGAAAAUAUUAAGUGGCCGAUGACUUACACAUUGAGGAGUACAGCUCAUUAUCAUCAUGGGAGCAUCUAGGCAGACAUGGUGCUGGGGGGAAAGGUGAGAGAUCUGCACCCAAAAUGGAAGACAUCAAGGAGAAACUAUACUGUCUAGCCAUGGACAGAACUUGAGUAUAUAUGGAUUUCCUCAAAGCCCCGCCUCUACGGUGACAACCCGUCUCCAACAAGGCAACGCCUCUCGAGAUUACCACGCCCUGCUCCAAGGAGAAUCAAAUCCAUACACCAAGGAAAGAAACAAAACGGCAAUUCUUACAAACUACUGACUUUGGAUGCAAAGGAGAGACAAGUGAGGCUAUGAGGACAAGGAUAAAAUGAUUAAUAUAGGAAAACAGAAAGGCAGAGAACAAAAUCUGGGCUGGAGGAUGGGACAAAAAGGAUGGAUCUGUGUUCUUACAGUCAACUCUCCUUUUCCACAGAGGCAUAGCAUUUGGGGUCAUGGAACUAUGAUGAGCUCUCACUGUUCAGUAGUUCUCUAGAGAACAGCAAUUUUACUAGGCCGAAAUUAGAAAAGUAGAUCUGUAAAACUGAUGGGUGUCACAGUGGGUAAAGGCUCUUGCUGCCAGACUUGACUACCAGAGGACAGUGACAGACAGAUUACAAAAGACAACAGACAUUCUCAGACUUCACAAACAUGUUUUGGAAGUUUUACAAAAACACACAUACAUACACACAAACACACACACAUAUACAAACACACACACAGCUAUCCUACAUGUAACAAAAAUUAAUAAAUAUAUACACGUAUAAUAUAUGUAUGUUUAUAUCGGUGUUUUGACUCCACGUAUAUCUGUAACCACAUGCAGACCUGCUGCUCGAGGAGCCUAGAAGAUUGCAUUGGACCCACUUGAAUCCUAGAUAGCAGAUGUGUUUGAGCCACCUUGUGUUGGGAAUGAGUGCACAAGAUUGGUCUCUUGGACCCAAUAACAUUGCGUUUUCAAUGACUUACCAGGGGCAAUGCUUUCCUUUAGUUAUGUGGGGUGUGGGAUUGGUUCACAUAUGCUGGAUUUUCAUGAGUUUCCCUAUCUCCUCUGGUUCUGGAAUUUAAUAAGUUACCCAGCUUGUCUGUGUUUGAGUCACCCACCCCAGUAGUUUAUAAAGAGUAAACAAACCAAGAAACAAACAAACAAACAAACAAAAAUGCAGAAGACCUAACUUCUCUCCAUCUCAGUUUUAAACCCUGGAUACUGAAAGGUUUUCAGAAGUUGAAGUGAGCUGACCAAGGCUGAAGAGGAGGUCGCUCACUCUGUACAGUACUCACUACUCAAGCAGGAAGACUUGAGUUCAAUGCAGUUCAAUAAAGAAAGAAAGGAAAGAAAGAAAAAAGAAAGAAAGAAAAAAGAAAGAAAGAAAUAAAGAAACAAAGGAAGGAAGGAAGGAAUGUAGAGAAAAGGUGGAUGUCAUAAGAACAAAGCCUCCCAGCAUAGCUCUGGUGAGCUUUUAACAGCUCACUAGCAUUGGUUCUUGGAACAAGCCAACUUGCUCAACAGGGGACCCCCCAGAACAACAAACACCAGUGCAGUGUGUCUGCGCUGGAGGGCGUUGCAGGUCUUGGUUGGUGGGGCCUCAAAGAUACACUGGAAGGUAUAGCCUGAAUUCCCUGCCUGCCAAGAAGCAGAAGAGAGAGCAAAUGUCAGGGUUUAGAUAUGCUUGGCUCAGGGAGUUGCACUAUUUGGAGUCAUGGUCUGAAAGACCCCCCCUUAAAAGGAGCUUAAGGUACACAACUAUAAAAGUAAAAAGUAAGUCUUAAGAUUCACAGACUCAAAGCUAAAACAGUCCCGGGCGAGCCCAAGCCCUGUGGGCCUGCCCUGCCCUUAAGACUAACAGAUCAUAAAGAUAAGGAAAAAGGAAUGCAGGAACCAGCUUGACUUAUCAGUGCUGACUCAUAGGCCAUCUGGCAGGAAGGGAUAAGCCCCUAGCCCUUGACAUUCCAGACGCCUCAGCCUGCACGUACUCUUUUGCUGCAUAACCAUGCAUCCGCGCCUCAUUUGAAUCCAUCAAUCAAGUCCCUGUAACCAUGCAUCUGCUUCUGUAUGCCUGCUUCUGCUCCCCAGAACCCUAUAAAAAACCAUCCCCAGUCUUGCUGGGCGCACCAGUCCUUCCGAGCUGACUGAGACAAACAAAAGUACCUGUGUAUCCAGACAAUAAACCCUCUUGCUGAUUGCA